AACGAACGCUGGCGGCAGGCUUAACACACGCAAGUCGAACGCGUGUAGCAAUACACGAGUGGCGCACGGGUGAGUAACACGUGGAUAUCUGCCUUUUGGUUCGGAAUAACUCCGGGAAACUGGAGCUAAUACCGGAUGGUUCCUACGGGAUAAAGAUUUAUCGCCAAAAGAUGAGUCCGCGCACGAUUAGCUAGUUGGUGAGGUAAUGGCUCACCAAGGCGACGAUCGUUAGCUGGUCUGAGAGGAUGAUCAGCCACACUGGGACUGAGACACGGCCCAGACUCCUACGGGAGGCAGCAGUGGGGAAUAUUGGACAAUGGGCGUAAGCCUGAUCCAGCAAUGCCGCGUGAGUGAUGAAGGCCUUAGGGUUGUAAAGCUCUUUUACCCGGGAAGAUAAUGACUGUACCGGGAGAAUAAGCCCCGGCUAACUCCGUGCCAGCCGCCGCUGUAA
rnacentral:rRNA from 1 species